UACGGAGGAUCCAAGCGUUAUCCGGAUUCACUGGGUUUAAAGGGUGCGUAGGUGGAAUGACAAGUCAGUGGUGAAAACCUGCAGCUUAACUGUAGAACUGCCAUUGAUACUGUUAUUCUUGAGUACAUUUGAUGUGAGUGGAAUGUGCCGUGUAGCGGUGAAAUGCUUAGAUAUGACACAGAACACCAAUUGCGAAGGCAGCUCACAAAACUGUAACUGACACUGAGGCACGAAAGCGUGGGGAUCAAACAGG
rnacentral:rRNA from 1 species